rnacentral:rRNA from 1 species
AAGCCAGACUCCUACGGGAGGCAGCAGUGGGGGAUAUUGCACAAUGGGGGAAACCCUGAUGCAGCGACGCCGCGUGGGUGAAGAAGCGCCUCGGCGCGUAAAGCCCUGUCAGCAGGGAAGAAAAUGACGGUACCUGAAGAAGAAGCCCCGGCUAACUACGUGCCAGCAGCCGCGGUAAUACGUAGGGGGCAAGCGUUAUCCGGAUUUACUGGGUGUAAAGGGGGCGCAGACGGCGAUGCAAGCCAGGAGUGAAAGCCCGGGGCCCAACCCCGGGACUGCUCUUGGAACUGCGUGGCUGGAGUGCAGGAGGGGCAGGCGGAAUUCCUGGUGUAGCGGUGAAAUGCGUAGAUAUCAGGAGGAACACCGGUGGCGAAGGCGGCCUGCUGGACUGCGACUGACGUUGAGGCCCGAAAGCGUGGGGAGCAAACAGGAUUAGAUACCCUUGUA